CGUACUCUCCUACGGGAGGCAGCAGUGGGGAAUUUUGGACAAUGGGCGAAAGCCUGAUCCAGCAAUGCCGCGUGAGUGAAGAAGGCCUUCGGGUUGUAAAGCUCUUUUGUCAGGGAAGAAACGGUGAGAGCUAAUAUCUUUUGCUAAUGACGGUACCUGAAGAAUAAGCACCGGCUAACUACGUGCCAGCAGCCGCGGUAAUACGUAGGGUGCAAGCGUUAAUCGGAAUUACUGGGCGUAAAGCGUGCGCAGGCGGUUUUGUAAGUCUGAUGUGAAAUCCCCGGGCUCAACCUGGGAAUUGCAUUGGAGACUGCAAGGCUAGAAUCUGGCAGAGGGGGGUAGAAUUCCACGUGUAGCAGUGAAAUGCGUAGAUAUGUGGAGGAACACCGAUGGCGAAGGCAGCCCCCUGGGUCAAGAUUGACGCUCAUGCACGAAAGCGUGGGGAGCAAACAGGAUUAGAUACCCGUGUAGUCC
rnacentral:rRNA from 1 species